GACGAACGCUGGCGGCGUGCUUAACACAUGCAAGUCGAACGGAAAGGCCCUGCUUUUGUGGGGUGCUCGAGUGGCGAACGGGUGAGUAACACGUGAGUAACCUGCCCUUGACUUUGGGAUAACUUCAGGAAACUGGGGCUAAUACCGGAUAGGAUCUCCUGCUGCAUGGUGGGGGUUGGAAAGUUUCGGCGGUUGGGGAUGGACUCGCGGCUUAUCAGAUUGUUGGUGGGGUAGUGGCUUACCAAGGCUUUGACGGGUAGCCGGCCUGAGAGGGUGACCGGCCACAUUGGGACUGAGCUAAGGCACAGACUCCUACGGGAGGCAGCAGAGGGGAAUAUUGCACAAUGGGCGGAAGCCUGAUGCAGCAACGCCGCGUGCGGGAUGACGGCCUUCGGGUUGUAAACCGAUUUCGCCUGUGACGAAGCGUGAGUGACGGUAAUGGGUAAAGAAGCACCGGCUAACUACGUG
rnacentral:rRNA from 1 species